rnacentral:rRNA from 1 species
GACGAACGCUGGCGGCGUGCCUAAUACAUGCAAGUCGAACGAACGGAUAAAGAGCUUGCUCUUUUGAAGUUAGUGGCGGACGGGUGAGUAACACGUGGGUAACCUGCCUCACAGCUGGGGAUAACAUCGAGAAAUCGAUGCUAAUACCGAAUGUGCUGAACAUCAUAAGAUGUUCAAGUGAAAGACGGUUUCGGCUGUCACUGUGAGAUGGACCCGGCUGGAUUAGCUAGUGGUAGUAAUGGCUUACAGGCGACGAUCCAUAGCCGACCUGAGAGGGUGAUCGGCCAC